CUGGACGAGAGGCGGUGCAACUGUCAGUGUAAGUUGUUAACAUGUUCGGCAUUUGUUGUUCCUGGCACACGGUAGCUAGAUGGAUUUUAAUAUCAGUGCUGUGAUUUACAUUGUGUUUGUGUCUGUUUGCGUGCGUGUGUGCUGUAUGUUUUGAAGGAUGUCAAUGAAAAGAAAACUGGAUAUAAGAGACUUCUCUAGGAGUCAAACGGGUCGCGGGGGCUGCUGGAGCCUAUCUCAGCUGCAUUCGGGCGGAAGGCGGGGCAACGACAGGACAAGUCGCCACCCCAUCUGCAUUAAUCAUUAACACAUUUAAAUUAAUCAAGCAAGUUAUUUUGAGCAUGCAAGCUCUUUUACUUUAACCGAUAAACGGUCAGUGAUGAGAUCAAUGCAUACGUCAGUAAAAAAAUGAGUGAGGCGAGUCCGACUGGUAUGCUCGCUGGCAAAUCUCACUCCAAAAUACAUCCAUAUAGAACUUUAGAUUAAAUUGUUACCACAUUUUGUGCAGAUAAAUUACAUGAUUUUAAGUAAAUAGUUUACAAAUGUUCCUGGAUGACAUUCUGAUAAUAAAAUUACAUUUGUGUACAAAUAUAUAUAUUUUUUAGCACAUUUCAAGUAAUGCAAAUUUGUAAUCGCCUGUGAUUAAUCAAGAUUAAUCCAAAUUCCAAAAUGUGCUUAAUCUGUUUUGAAAAAAAUAAUAAUGUCACAGUCCUAGUUAACUACUACAAAAGCCACCCAUAAAACUCAGAAUUUUGCACUGCAACAUGUACAUCAGUGCAGUCCAAACUACAGUGGCCAAGUGCGGCUCGCGAGACGUCAUGCAUAUAAGGAGUCUGGCCUGCAGGGUCAUUUAAAGGCUUACUGAAACCCACUACUACCGACCACGCAGUCUGAUAGUUUAUAUAUCAAUGAUGAAAUAUUAACAUUGCAACACAUACCAAUACGGCCGGUUUAGUUUACUAAAUUGCAAUCUUAAAUUUCCCGCGGAGUUUCUUGUUGAAAACGUCGCAGAAUGAUGACGCGUGCGCGUGACGUCACGGACUGUCAGGACAUAUUAGCCCAGCACCAUUUGCGGCUAAAAGGUCGUCUCUUCUCAUCGCGCAAUUACGAAGUAUUCUGGACAUCUGUGUUGCUGAAUCUUUUGCAAUUUGUUCAAUUAAUAAAGGAGAAGUCAAAGUAGAAAAAUGGAGUUGGGAAGCUUUAGCCUUUAACCACACAAACACACGGUGAUUCCUUGUUUAAAAUUCUCGGAGGUGAAGCUUUACUAUUGAUCAGAGCGGUCAAGCGAACAUGGUUCCCGACCACUUGUCAACCGGCAGGUUUCGGUAAGAAAAUUGUGGUAAAAAGUUGCCUCUUACUGGAGAUCAGCUGAGCUUGCGCCGUCCAUGCAGCUGACGUCGACUUCCCUCAGAGACUAGCCUCAAGACACCCGUGGACACACCCCUCCGACUAUCAGGUACGAUUCAAUCUCACUAAAACACUAGCAACACAAUAGAAAGGUAAGAGAUUUCCCAGAAUUAUCCUAGUAAAUGUGUCUAAAAACAUCUGAAUCCAUCCCAAAGCAAUUGCCUUUUUUUUUCUUGUAGUCCUUCGCUAUCAAUAUCAUCAUCCACAAAUCUUUCAUCCUCGCUCAAAUUAAUGGGGAAAUUGUUGUUUUCUCGGUCCGAAUAGCUCUUGCUGCUGGAGGCUCCCAUUACAAACAAUGUAAGGACGUGAGGAGCCCUCACCCUUGUGACGUCAUCGUCUGCUACUUCCGCAAAGGCAAGGCUUUUUUUAUCAGCACCAAAAGUUGCAAACUUUAUCGUGGAUGUUCUCUACUAAACCCUUUCAGCAAAAAUAUGGCAAUAUCGUGAAAUGAUCAAGUAUGACACAUAGAAUGGACCUGCUAUCCCCGUUUAAAUAAUAAAAUCUCAUUUCAGUAGGCCUUUAAAUACAUUUUGAACAUCUGACAAUAUUGACGCUGCAACUUUGAUGCCAUCCUCUGGACAACGUGAGUAUUUCAGGUCAAUGAUCAUGAAAUGUUCCCCGCAGGAAAACAAAGCACAGCAUUACUUAUACGACACAAUCUAAACAACCUUUCUCGAACCUUCGCCACCCCAUCCUUUGUGGACGGCGUGGCGAAGUUGGGAGAGAGGCUGUGCCAGCAAUCUGAGGGUUACUGGUUCAAUCCCCACCUUCUACCAUCCUAGUCACGUCCGUUGUGUCCUUGAGCAAGACACUUCACCCUUGCGCUUGAUGGGUCCUGGUUAGCGCCUUGCAUGGCAGCUUCCGAAAUCAGUAUGUGAAUGUGUGUGUGAAUGGGUGAAUGUGGAAAAUAGUGUCAAAGCGCUUUGAGUUCCUUGAAAAAAAUGUAGAAAAGCGCUAUACAAGUACAACCCAUUUACCAUUUCUCUAGUCCUGGAGCAGAAAAAAAAAUGCAACCAAAACAAAAAGUCCAGACAUAACACAAGUCAGACAUAACACAAGCUGCUCACUGAACUUAGUGGAUAGUAUAAAAAAGUCCACACAACAUAACUUUUUUUCUAAAUUAGAUCCAUUUAAAUCAAUUACAAUGCAUGAUUGGAAAAAUGCAAAACACUUUCCACCAUUAUUCCUGUUUGGCGCAUUCUAGCUGCUUGAUUUUUCAGAUUGAUUACAAAACUUUAAAGGAGGUCGUCACGGAAGUAAACGACAUAGGAGUCAAACUUUCACAUACUCUUAUUAUUCAAUUACCGGUAUGUGAAUUAUAUAUUCAUCCAACUUCUACCGCUUUUCCCUUUCGGGGUCAUGGGGGAUGCUGGAGCAUAUCUCAGUUCCCUUCGGCCGGAAGGCGGGGCACACCCUGGACAAGUCCUCACCUCAUCGCAGGGCCAACACAGAUAGACAGACAAUAUUCACACUCGCAUUCACACACAAGGGCCAAUUUCAUUGUUGCUAAUCAACCUAUAUAUCUAUUAUACUAAUAUAAACCCCUGUGUACAUCACUGCAUUCUAAUAGUUUGAUUUUUUUCUUUAAUUGAUAGUACAAUGUACAGUGGAGUGCAGUGUUACCUGUACAUGGCAAACACCAGUGCCAAGGCAGCGAUGGCUUUCUCCCCACCAGACAGAUUCUCCAUGGACAUAAAGCGCUUCCCUGGAGCCACGCAGCUGUAAGUGAUCCCGCCAAGAUUUCCUGAGAGCAUAGAUAUUGGCAAGUCAUUGAUCUUGCAGGCCAGCAGCAGGUUGUGGCGGGCUAAUUGUUUUUGCUCCAAGUUGCUCUCCACGGACAUCACUUCUCCCUGACGUUUCACCAACCAUCUGGAGGCGAAAGAAGUUUCUUCUUAAUAGAGCUAAUCUUUGUGGUGUGGAAAUAUAUGAAAGUAUGCAUAGACCAGGAAUAUGGUGGCGUUUAUGUCCAACAGAAUGAUGGAAUAUCCACACCUGAUUUUCCCCAAAUUAUAUUCAUUUUCAACCAUCCAGGUUCUGUAGCAGUAGGUGUGCACAAUAAUUAUCAGGUCAAUAUGAGGAAUUAUGACAUCAUACCAAUACAUCUGAUACCAAUAUAAUAUAAGUGCAAUAACCGACAAAAAAUAAAACGCUCCAAUUAAAUGUGCUGAACGAUAUAUUGACCUACAAAUUAUUGCUGAUAAAGGAUAUUAAUGUCAACAUUAGUUUGGGACCAAAUUAACUACUGAUGAAAUGAUAAUACAUAAUACUAAUUCAAGUAUACACUUUCAAACUCAAUAAAUGUAAAAGUAUUUCUGUUUUUUUAACCAUGUAAUUGGAAUGUAAACUUUUAAAUAUACUGUACAAGUUCAAUAAAAUAAACAAAUACAUAAAGGAAAAGGUGGUGGGGAACCCACAAAUAUACACAACCAAAACAAUGAAUACAAUGUCGAAAUAAAUCUAUUGUGACCAAAAUUAUCACGAUUAGCAUUAUUGUCUGGGUACUAUUGAAUGUGCUCAACAUCUUAUUAUUACGGUAGUGUUAAAUGUGCUCAAAAGGUACUUAUACACACACUAAAAUCUUUUAACCGAGUUAAAAAAAUAUUUUGGGGACCGAUACAAGUGUGCUUUUCAGGUUUACAGCUAUGAAACUGCAUUCACAUAACAACAAAACAAAAAGCGUUCAAAAUGUAAAAUCAUCUAAAAAUCUAAAUAAUGGCUCGGGCUACUUUUAAGAGGUUCAAAACCAGCUUUAUAAUAUUUGAAUACAAAUUAUAACAAAUUAUAUAUACCCUAUUUUGUAUCGUGCAAACACACUCCUCAUUUAGUAAGGAUGCACGAUUCUCUGCCCCACAAUAUUUACAUAUCAGUUACCAGCACCCGGGACAAGCCGUAGAAGACGGAUGGUUGGAUGGAAGGUACCGAUUACACCCUGCUUCCCAAAAUCAAUAGCAAUACCUCAACUAGAUGUAUAAUUUUUAAAAUUGAGAUUCAAGUGCAGUUUAUACACACCUAGAGGUAAAAACGAGUCAAACAGCGGUAUGGUUUUAGUGUACCUGUUGAUUUGUCUAGACUAGGGACAGGUACUGUUCACAUCUGAAAACCCAAUUCCUACUACCUGGGUAUCGAUACCGGUACUCAACGGUACCAAUCAUUAGUACUUUUGUGUGUUAAUAAAUGUUAAUUAUGUGAUAAUAACAAUUUAUUCUUUAAAGUAACAUUUAAAAAUGAGCUGAUUAUAAUAACUGUGCUGUCCAGUUGUUAUAUGUUGUUUUCUUUUAUCAUGUGAGUCUCAUUUUUAAUGCAGUUGCACUUCCAAGACAUUGGAUGGCAGUACUGUAUAGGCUAUAAAUGGUACUGUAUGUUGAAAAGUAAAACUUGUCUU